UAACCAACGUCAGCUCAGACUAACUGCUCAUUUCAUUGCAAAGAGGGUGGGUUCGUACUGUCUCUGUGCUGCUUGUGAUUUGCUUUUGUGUGUAUGUCGUUCGGUUCGGAGGCGCCGACCCGACCCGUGACUUUGAUUGUCUCUGUUGAGUUUCGGGCAGAGGUCCAAGAACGGAAGCAACCGUGAGCGCAGACGCUUCAACGCUGGAGUUCAGCUGGUGCUAAACCUGGGAACACGCUGAAACCUCCCGUUCGUCAUCCCUGAGGAUGAACCGCUUCCUUCGCUUUGAUUCUGGGUUUCACGCUUUACAUUUUUACAGCUUGUUGGUGAAUAUGAGGCUUCCUCAGAUGCAGCUUUACUAAGUGAGCUGCUGUUAAUAUUGUGUUUUUUCCUUUCCUGCAGACGUCUAAAUAAUUAGCUUUUGUUGUAGAAAAUGAUGAAUUCGGGCAGUUAAUUCAUCGAUCGUCCGGCUCCUGCGAUGUGCUUUGCUUUAGAGAGUCAUUAAUCAAUGGAUGAAAACACCUAAUUCUGCUCCUGCGCCGCUACUCGUUUCUCUACCUUCUGUGUAGAACAGACAAUCUACAGCCACAAUAUGGAGGCAAACUGCCGUUAUGGACAAGUGAUGAUGACGAUGAUGAAGUGGAAGGCGAUCACAUAGAUAUUAAUAGGCCUGUGCAUAAAUGAUUAGCUUUAGCUUCCGUGGCAUCAGGAUGAGAUGAUGCAAUGAAACAGCUAACGACAGUGAGGUCGGGUGCUGCUCAGUAACUACUGGACCCAGCGCUCAGUCACUAUCACAGUGUCAGUUGGAGCCACAGAUCUGAGGAUGAGCUGAAAAUAGGUCCAGAGAUGACAAAUGGCUCCUGUCAGGGCGACGCCAGUCAUAACAACGCGCGCUGCUGCAUUUUCAGGCCCUUCGCUGAUGUUCUUAUCCACGGCCGCUCACAAUGACUAAUGCUCACGCACACUCGCUGCGUGUGUGAGCCGCAGACGGGGGGGAACGCUCGGGUCGGGAUAACGAGUCCGACCCGCAAACACAAUGGAGCGGCUGCAAUGCGUCUUAUCUGAACGCACACACUGAGCUGAGCGACAGCGGCGACCACCAACAACCAGAACCUGCAACACUGAGGGUGUGGAACCAAUGAGGACGACACAGAACACGCAGGUUCUGCCUUUCAGCAGUGCACAAGACCAGGACCUCAGCUGCACUUUGAACCCGACCUGCUUCAACAACGGGUGGAGAAAGUCUGAUAAUGAAACUGCUCUUUUUCAUGGUUGCUUCAUUCACGACCUUCUGCAAACAACGAAACCUCCUGAAUAGUCGUUUAGAGGAGAUCUGCUGAUGUUCCGACUGAAGCAACAUUUGUACGUUUGUCUGUAGAAAAGGAAAGAGCAGGAAGAAGAGAGACGGAGGAGAGAAAAACAAGGAGCGAGACGUGAGGCACAGGAAGAAGUGAGUGGAGAGCGCGAGAGACACGAUACGUGUGCAUCAGAGUGGGAGAGAGACUUUAGUCGGUGAGGAGGAGAGAGAGGAGGGGAGAGGGCCAGCCAGUGACAGGGAGGGAGGGGGGAGGAGGAGGGAGGCACAGGCUCGUGCAGCGGCCGCUCUGCUACUUUUGGCUCCGGAGACGCGCAGGACGCAGCCAAGUGCCCCGGCUCCCCUCGAUGGUUCACCGCCGCCCGGAGGAGGGAGCCGCCGUCCGCCGCCGCCGCCGCCGCCGCCGCCGCCUGGAACCCAGCGCCUGACAGCACAGCCAUGCUGAAGCCGGGCGACCCGAGCGGCUCGGCCUUCCUGAAGGUGGACCCGUCCUACCUGCAGCACUGGCAGCAGCUCUUCCCUCAGGCUCAGCUCAAGGCCCCUGCGCCUCCGCUGCCUCCGUCCGACCGCCUCUCCGUCCCCAUGGACGGCCUGCGCCCGUCCCGCCUGCACAGCCACCUCCUGGCCUCCGCACACUGCAGCUCCUCUACUUCCUCUGCGUCCUCGUCAGCGGCCGCUCCUUCAGCUGCAGUGGCUGCGGUCCUCGCCCCGUCCUCCUCCGCCUCCACAGGCCUCUCCCAGAUGCCCGUCCCCCAGCAGGUCGCGCUGUUCGGGCAGGCGCUGGCCCCGCUGUGUGCCGGGCCCGCGGGACCAGGUGCAG